rnacentral:rRNA from 1 species
UACGUAGGGGGCCAGCGUUGUUCGGAAUUACUGGGCGUAAAGGGUUCGUAGGCGGUGCGGCAAGUUGGGAGUGAAAUCUCUGGGCUCAACCCAGAGACGGCUUCCAAAACUGCUGUGCUUGAGUGUGGGAGAGGCUCGUGGAAUUGCAGGUGUAGCGGUGAAAUGCGUAGAUAUCUGCAGGAACACCCGUGGCGAAAGCGGCGAGCUGGACCACUACUGACGCUGAAGAACGAAAGCUAGGGGAGCAAACAGG